ensembl:snRNA U6 U6 spliceosomal RNA
GUAAUUGUCUGACCUCAUAUACAAAAAUUGGAACGAUAUAGAGAAUAUUAGCAUGGCUCCUGUGUAAGGGUGACAUGCAAAUCUGUGAGGUGUUCCAUACUUUU